AUGAACGCUGGCGGCGUGCCUAACACAUGCAAGUCGAACGGAGUUGCUCGCUGAUGAAGCUUCGGCAGAAUCUUGAGUAAACUUAGUGGCGGACGGGUGAGUAACGCGUGGGCAACCUGCCUCAUACUGGGGGAUAACAGUUGGAAACGACUGUUAAUACCGCAUAAGCGCACAGAGUCGCAUGACUCUGUGUGAAAAAACUCCGGUGGUAUGAGAUGGGCCCGCGUCAGAUUAGCCAGUUGGCGGGGUAACGGCCCACCAAAGCGACGAUCUGUAGCCGGACUGAGAGGUCGGACGGCCACAUUGGGACUGAGACACGGCCCAAACUCCUACGGGAGGCAGCAGUGGGGGAUAUUGCACAAUGGAGGAAACUCUGAUGCAGCGACGCCGCGUGAGUGAAGAAGUAUUUCGGUAUGUAAAGCUCUAUCAGCAGGGAAGAAAGGCUCGUAAGAGAGAUGACGGUACCUGACUAAGAAGCCCCGGCUAACUACGUGCCAGCCGCGGC
rnacentral:rRNA from 1 species